rnacentral:rRNA from 1 species
GCUUGCUCUCUGGGUGGCGAGUGGCGGACGGGUGAGGAAUACAUCGGAAUCUACUUUUUCGUGGGGGAUAACGUAGGGAAACUUACGCUAAUACCGCAUACGACCUACGGGUGAAAGCAGGGGAUCUUCGGACCUUGCGCGAUUGAAUGAGCCGAUGUCGGAUUAGCUAGUUGGCGGGGUAAAGGCCCACCAAGGCGACGAUCCGUAGCUGGUCUGAGAGGAUGAUCAGCCACACUGGAACUGAGACACGGUCCAGACUCCUACGGGAGGCAGCAGUGGGGAAUAUUGGACAAUGGGCGCAAGCCUGAUCCAGCCAUACCGCGUGGGUGAAGAAGGCCUUCGGGUUGUAAAGCCCUUUUGUUGGGAAAGAAAUCCAGCUGGCUAAUACCCGGUUGGGAUGACGGUACCCAAAGAAUAAGCACCGGCUAACUUCGUGCCAGCAGCCGCGGUAAUACGAAGGGUGCAAGCGUUACUCGGAAUUACUGGGCGUAAAGCGUGCGUAGGUGGUCGUUUAAGUCCGUUGUGAAAGCCCUGGGCUCAACCUGGGAACUGCAGUGGAUACUGGGCGACUAGAGUGUGGUAGAGGGUAGCGGAAUUCCUGGUGUAGCAGUGAAAUGCGUAGAGAUCAGGAGGAACAUCCAUGGCGAAGGCAGCUACCUGGACCAACACUGACACUGAGGCACG